CUGUCAGGCUGAGUUCAGGGAAAACACAGAGCUGCCGAUCUGUCAAUCAUAAUUAGCAAACACAGGGAGUGAAACUGGGAGGAAGGUCGGUGAAACGCUACGUUUUUGGGUGAAAAGGCAUUGUACUUUCUGUGAAACAAUUAUGCGUCGGAAAGGAGGGGAAAAUAAGUAUCCUAGUGUGCUUAAAAAUAUUUGUUCUACUUUGGAAGGAAUUGCAUAAAAGCGCGUUCACUGAAAGCCAAACUCGGCGAGUUUCACUUGCAAGCAACUAUUCUGCUUGGAGUACGAAACAUAUCCAGAAGAAGGUAACCACGGACGCACGACACUUUGGGAUUUAAUUUGGCUAUUUAACACACUUCUUGACAAAAGUGGUUGAUACAUUUCAGAGGACUGUCUUAAAGUCGCUGUUGGUGACUCGCAGCGCAGACUAGGAGGUGUGACGGUUCACUCAAAACAAUCUCGGCCCAAACAUCCAGACGGCGAGGAAGAAAGGAGGAAAGAUGAGCGGGGGAGAUGUGGUGUGCUCGGGCUGGUUAAGAAAAUCUCCUCCAGAAAAAAAGUUGAGACGUUACGGCCUCAGUGUUUGAACAACAACACUCCGGAGACAGGCUGACACAACGAGCUGAGAGGGAAAAUGUUGAACCCCGAAGGUCCCUGUUUUGAGUGUCUCUCUCUCUCUGUCCCAAAUGGGCACUGAUCUAAAGUAGUGCACUAUAUAGGGAAUAUGGUGCUUUUGGGACAAAUCCAUAGGAUGAUGGCAGUAGACUCACUGAGGACAUCCUCUAGCCGGCUCAGAAAAUAUCCUUCCACUCCUGUAAAUGUCUCUCCACCAGCUUGAGGGAGUCUGUCUCCUGACCUGAACCACUUACUAUAUGUAGCUCGCUGCAGCGCCCUGUAAGCCAUUACUCGUGCUCAAGCCUAAUUUAACACUUUUGAUUUGCGACCAACCAAGGGGGAAAUUCUGCAACUUCUGAACAAACGACAGAGCGGACGGAUAGACGGAACUCAGUGGAGUGGUCAAACGAAACAAAGGAAUCGCUUUUUUGUUGAGUACAGGAUUCAUUAAAUCUGCUUAGCAAGUGGAACAGAGAAGCGCUUGUGUGGCGUUAGCGUAAGAGGCUAUUCCUAGCCAGCAGUCAGCAUACAUUAUUGUUGAAGACCAGGGCUCUCCAACCCUGUUCCUGGAGAGCUACCCUCCUGUAGGUUUUCACUG